AAUAGAUACCCGGGUAGUCCACGCCGUAAACGAUGAGUGCUAAGUGUUAGAGGGGUUUCCGCCCUUUAGUGCUGCAGCUAACGCAUUAAGCACUCCGCCUGGGGAGUACGGUCGCAAGACUGAAACUCAAAGGAAUUGACGGGGGCCCGCACAAGCGGUGGAGCAUGUGGUUUAAUUCGAAGCAACGCGAAGAACCUUACCAGGUCUUGACAUCCUCUGACAACUCUAGAGAUAGAGCGUUCCCCUUCGGGGGACAGAGUGACAGGUGGUGCAUGGUUGUCGUCAGCUCGUGUCGUGAGAUGUUGGGUUAAGUCCCGCAACGAGCGCAACCCUUGAUCUUAGUUGCCAGCAUUCGGUUGGGCACUCUAAGGUGACUGCCGGUGACAAACCGGAGGAAGGUGGGGAUGACGUCAAAUCAUCAUGCCCCUUAUGACCUGGGCUACACACGUGCUACAAUGGAUGGUACAAAGGGCUGCAAGACCGCGAGGUCAAGCCAAUCCCAUAAAACCAUUCUCAGUUCGGAUUGUAGG
rnacentral:rRNA from 1 species